rnacentral:rRNA from 1 species
UGGAGAAAAGCAGGGGAUCGCAAGACCUUGCGCUUUUGGAGUGGCCGAUGCCUGAUUAGCUAGUUGGUAGGGUAAUGGCUUACCAAGGCGACGAUCAGUAGUUGGUCUGAGAGGACGACCAGCCACACUGGGACUGAGACACGGCCCAGACUCCUACGGGAGGCAGCAGUGGGGAAUUUUGGACAAUGGGCGAAAGCCUGAUCCAGCAAUGCCGCGUGAGUGAAGAAGGCCUUCGGGUUGUAAAGCUCUUUCAGUCGAGAAGAAAAGGUUGUGACUAAUAAUCACAACUCAUGACGGUAUCGACAGAAGAAGCACCGGCUAACUACGUGCCAGCAGCCGCGGUAAUACGUAGGGUGCGAGCGUUAAUCGGAAUUACUGGGCGUAAAGGGUGCGCAGGCGGCUUUGUAAGUCAGAUGUGA